CCUGUUCGAGCGUCAUUAUAACCACUCAAGCCUAGCUUGGUAUUGGAGCUCGCGGUCUCGCGGCUCUUAAAAUCAGUGGCGGUGCCAUCUGGCUCUAAGCGUAGUAAUUUAUCUCGCUAUUGGGUCCGGUGGUUACUUGCCAACAACCCCCAACUUCUAAGGUUGACCUCGGAUCAGGUAGGGAUACCCGCUGAACUUAA
rnacentral:misc_RNA from 1 species